rnacentral:tmRNA from 1 species
GUCAGCAGGUACCUAUAUUUAGGGGGCUGGCAACAGCUAUGGCGAUAAAUGGAAAUCGUAAUAAACCAUUCGGACCCGGGGGCGGUACCCGGCGCCUCCACCAAAACUCAGCUAAGCCGCUGAAAUAUGGGGGCGAAAUAGGAUCGACGAGGGUGUAAAGGGUUGUCUUUCGCUCGGCAUGGUACCACCGUAUCGGACCAUUUUGAUAGUUGCAAAUGACAACUUCGCUGAGGCACGUCUAGCUGCGUAACGCGGUUCGACACCUCGAAUUGAAGUCCUAGCCUCUAGCAAGGUCUAGGCGGGGUUCGCAGGUACCUGGCAACAGAAACCU